rnacentral:misc_RNA from 1 species
GAAAUGCGAUAAGUAAUGUGAAUUGCAGAAUUCAGUGAAUCAUCGAAUCUUUGAACGCACAUUGCGCCCGCUAGUAUUCUGGCGGGCAUGCCUGUUCGAGCGUCAUUUCAACCAUCAAGCUAUUGGGCCCAGGCUUGUGUUGGGGACCUGCGGCUGCCGCAGCCCCCUAAAAACAGUGGCGGUCUCGCUGUCAUACCGAGCGCAGUAGUGAAUUCUUCGUUCUGGUCGUGGCAGUGGGUGCUAGCCGUGAAACAUCCUUCUAAGGUUGACCUCGGAUCAGGUAGGAAUACCCGCUGAACUUAA